CACAGCCAUGAUCACAGAAACCCAGAGGGUGAAGAGAGGAUCCUGCUGCUGGACUCAUGAGGCACUGCAAAUGCCAGAUAUUUCUGGCUUAUUUCCACAAGAUGCACCAUGUUGAAAUCCAGAGAACCAACUGUCACAGAAAUGAGAGGGCUUUCAUGGAAAAGAGAGAACCAAAAAGAACCAACUUUUCAGCACAUCUGAAACACACAAGAGAGAGAUGCAUGGGCUGCAGAGAAGUCCUCAGAGCUUUGCAGAACAGCAAAUGCC
rnacentral:lncRNA from 1 species